rnacentral:rRNA from 1 species
AUUGAACGCUGACGGCAUGCCUUACACAUGCAAGUCGAACGGUAACAGGCCUUCGGAUGCUGACGAGUGGCGAACGGGUGAGUAAUACAUCGGAACGUGCCUGAGAGUGGGGGAUAACGAGGCGAAAGCUUUGCUAAUACCGCAUACGAUCUCAGGAUGAAAGCAGGGGACCGCAAGGCCUUGCGCUCACGGAGCGGCCGAUGGCAGAUUAGGUAGUUGGUGGGAUAAAAGCUUACCAAGCCGACGAUCUGUAGCUGGUCUGAGAGGACGACCAGCCACACUGGGACUGAGACACGGCCCAGACUCCUACGGGAGGCAGCAGUGGGGAAUUUUGGACAAUGGGCGCAAGCCUGAUCCAGCCAUGCCGCGUGCAGGAUGAAGGCCUUCGGGUUGUAAACUGCUUUUGUACGGAACGAAAAGACUCUGGUUAAUACCUGGGGUCCAUGACGGUACCGUAAGAAUAAGCACCGGCUAACUACGUGCCAGCCGCCGCAGUAACAC